AACUUUUAACAAUGGAUCUCUUGGCUCUGGCAUCGAUGAAGAACGCAGCGAAACGCGAUAUGUAAUGUGAAUUGCAGACUUUAGUGAAUCAUCGAAUCUUUGAACGCACAUUGCGCCCCGUGGUAUUCCGCGGGGCAUACCUGUUCGAGCGUCAUU
rnacentral:rRNA from 3 species